rnacentral:rRNA from 1 species
CCGGUGCCUCUGUCGCCCGGAACCAGGCGCCCGCCGGAGGUCUAUAAACUCUUGUUUGUCUGGUGGUAUUAUCUGAGUGGCGCAAGCGAAAAUAAAAUCAAAACUCUCAACAACGGAUCUCUUGGUUCUGGCAUCGAUGAAGAACGCAGCGAAAUGCGAUAAGUAAUGUGAAUUGCAGAAUUCAGUGAAUCAUCGAAUCUUUGAACGCAUAUUGCGCCCGUUAGUAUUCUAGCGGGCAUGCCUGUUCGAGCGUCAUUUCAACCCUCAAGCCCCAUUGGCUUGGUGUUGGGGAUCGGCCGCUGCGGCUCUGAGCUGCGGCAGGCCGGCCCCGAAAUCUAGUGGCGGUCUCGCUGCAGCCUCCUCUGCGUAGUAGCAACACCUCGCUCUGGAAGACAGCGUGGCCACGCCGUAAAACCCCCAAGUUUUACUAAGGUUGACCUCGGAUCAGGUAGGAAUACCCGCUGAACUUAAGCAUAUCAAUAAGCGGAGGAA